rnacentral:lncRNA from 1 species
AAAGGUAAACCGUGGUUUAAUAUAUAUAAAGAUGAUAAGAAAUGGAACAAUAAACAGCAAGAAGUAGAUGUCAUAAAGUCAUGAUUUAAUUGCUCCAUUUCUUAUCGUCUUUAUAUAUAUGCAAAUAUAUAUAUAUAUAUAUAUUUCUUUAUUGCCCACAAGGGGCUAAACAUAGAGAAGACAAACAAGGACAGACAAAGGGAUUAAGUCGAUUACAUCGACCCCAGUGCAAAACUGGUACUUUAUUUAUCGACCCCGAAAGGAUGGAAGGUAAAGCCGACCUCAGCGGAAUUUGAACUCAGAAUGUAACGACAGACGAAAUACCACUAAGCAUUUUGCCCAGCGCGCUAACAUGUCUGCCAGCUCGCAGCCUUUAUAUAUGCAUAUAUAUAUAUAUAUAUAUAUAUAUAUAUAUAUAUAUACAUACACACAUACACACACAAGCACAUGCACAUGUAUUUUAUGUAUUUACACACACACACAUGCGCGCACACACACAUGCGCGCGCACACACACACACACACACGCGCAUGCGUUCACAUACACACACUAACACAUAUACAUAUAUAUCUAUAUAGAACUUGCUUUUCUCUGCUUUUUUUAAAAAUCAGAAUUCUUCUUUUAGGAUAAUUCUCUUCAGCAUCAAUUCAUUCUUAGAAAAAAAUUCCACCCUACAUCAUCAGUCUUACUAGAAUUAUCAUGCUUCCUUGACUAUCUUAUUGUGCAUAUGCAUGUCUUUCAUCUUUUACUUGUUUCAGUCAUUAGACUGUGGCCACGCUGGAGCACUUCCUUGGAGAAUUUUUAGUUGAAUGAACCGAACCGAAAACCUUUGUUUUUAACCCUGGUACUUAUUCUGUUGGUCUUUUAGAUGGUCUUUUUCUUGAAUUGCUCUAUUAUGUUGAUGUAAACGCACCAACACUGGUUGGCAAGCAGUGGAGGUGGGGGGACAAACACAGACAUAAAGGCAGACGCAAGUAUAUAUAUAUGAUGAUGAGUUUCUUUCAGUUUCUGUCUACCAAAUUCACUCAUAAGGCUUUGAUCGGCCUAAGACUAUUGUAGAGGGCACUUACCCAUGGUGCCACACAGUGGGACUGAACCCAGAAUCAUGUUGUUGGGAAGCAAGCUUUUUACCUCUCUUAUUUUUCUACCUCUUUUUUUUUUUCAUUCUUUAACCAGCAUCUCAUUUUAAACUAUUUUGUCUGUUAAUAUAUACAUAAAUACUUAUGAAAGGAGAACAAGUUGUCUGCGUGUGCGUUUGCCUAUACACUUUGGUGUGUUUAUGGAUAUGCGUAUAUACUUAUUCGUGCACACACAUACACACACACACACACAAAAUAUAUAUAAAUAUAUUGAUACACACACACACACACACACACUCACUCAGUUUACUUAUUCGUUAAGGUAAGAUCAACAAAAAAGUGCUCUAUCCAGUGAGAUUUAAAUAUUGCUUAAUGUGCACAGUAUAUAGUUAAGAACUACUAAUAGUUUCAUAAGUUAAAGAUAUUAUCUAUGUAGGUUUUAAAACGUGCUUAGUGACUCCAAGCAAUUUUGGAGAUUAUCUAGAGACACUGAAGAUUACUUGGAGACACUAGGCAUAUUUUAAAACCUGCCAAGAUAACAUCUUCAAUUUAUGAAACUGUUAGUAGCUCAUAACAUAUGUCUAUUAGCAUAUCUGUCUCCAUACUCAAAAAUAUGUGUCUGAGUGUAUGACCAAAUAUCUAAUUCAUAUAUCUGUAGUCAUGUGUGCAUCUAUGUGUUUUGAUGUAUGUACAUCUAUAUGUGUAUGCAUAGAUACAUGUGUGAUUACUAUGUGGAUGAGUAAAUACACAUGUAUAUAUGCAUCUAUAUAUCUAUGUACCUGUUCAUCAAUACAAAAAUGUGUAUGUAUGUAUAUAUUGUUAUACAUAUCUUUGUAUGUGGAUAUGUCUCUACAAAUGUUGAUAGAUAGAUGUGGGCAUCAUUUUCUUAUCUCUCUAUGUGUGUGAAUAUGGUUCUUCAGUUUUUUUAAAUACAUGCAUUUAUUAUAUGUAUUAGUCUCAAAUUGUCUUGUCACCUUUAGUGAUGGUGCAUUUUUCCAUUUUAGUUUUGAAUUGUGUCUAACCAUCUUAACCAUUUUAUAAUUUUCACAUUACCAUUUUGCUGGAUCAACCUUUGAUUCCUAUGGUAAAUUCUAAAAAUACUGACGAGUGGAAUUCCUCUUCACCACCAGCGGAGGAGUAACAUCACUGAUAAGCAUUAAUUUCAUGUGAAAUUGAUGUGCCAAUUUGAUGCCUUUGCUUGAUGUUUGGAGGUUGUCUCUCUUGUCAGUACACAGAACUGUGCUUUGUUCAUGGCUAAAUAGUCUUUGACUCUUGUUUCUAGCAAUGCUGGUGAUGCUCUGCACUCUUAGUUACUUUUAGUGACUGUUUUUUUCCUUUUGGGUUUUAAAUUGCGUCCAGUCAUCUUAAUCAUUAUAUAUAUAUUUAUAUAUACAACACAAUGCCCAAUCUGGGAAUCGAACCCACAAUCUUGCAACUGUGAGUGUAGCGUCCUAACCACUAAGCCAUGCACCCUCACACACACAUACACAUAUAUAUGUAUGUAUAUAUAGUUCAAAUUUACAGAGGACAAAAGACGAAGACAGGUGAAAGAACAAAGAGUAGGUGCAUCAGUUUGACGUGCGGGAAGAAUGAAAACGUUUUUGACAGUUCAAGCCUAUUCUCUUAGAACAAAAAGUUCAGAAAGUUCGAGGAGUUAUGGUAGAUUAGUGUGAUAUACAUCAACAAAAGUGAACAGUAGGAUUCAUGGUGGUAGAGUCUGAAGAAGUACAAAAAUCCACAGCUAAUCUAAGUGGAGUGAUGGCUUAUAUAUAUGAUGAUGAUGAUGAUGAUAAAUAUAUAUAUUGUCAGUAAUUCAUAAAUGUGAAAGAGAAGCCAGGCAAUUUAUGGAUGCGAAACCCUGGGUAACCCUAUGAACUGGCUAUAACUAUCUUUAUCUAAAUAUAUAUAUAUAUAUAUCAUGUGUGUGUUUGUACACAUACACAAAUACACACACACGCUCACACACACGCAUGCAUGCACACACACACACACACACACAAACACACACUAUAUGUGCUUGUAUAUAAUUACUUACUAUUAUCUUUUUAUCUUUUUCACUCCUAUUUUCUAUAUUCCUGUGGUGUAGAAUAUCAUGUAUGUCUAUUAUGUAAAUGUAUAUCUAUAAAUAUAUAUACAUACAUACAUACAUAUAUAUAUAUAUAUAUAUAUAUAUAUAUAUAUAUAUAUAUAUAUAUAUAUAUGUAUGUAUGGAUGUGUGCAUGUAUGUAUGUGUGUGUAUGUAUGCACAUAUCUAUGUAUAUCAUCAUCAUCAUCAUCAGACAUUAAACGAUGAUGAUGAUGAUGGUAUACAUAUGUAGACACAUGCAUACAUACACAAACAUACAUACAUACACACAUCCAUACAUAUAUGUAUUACAUAAAAUUAUAAAGCUAUAAAAUAAUAAUAAUGAGCUUAUAUAUAUAUAUACAUAUAUAUGUACACAUGGAUACAUACAUAUAUAUAUGUACACACACACAUAUGUAUAUAGAUAUGCACACAUAGAUAUAUGCAUACAUGCACAUUUACAUGCAAAACUUACUUGCAUGUGUUUGUGCAUAUGUGCAUGUAUGUGUUUGAUUUUGUGUAAUACUGUGUUUUUAUGUCAGGUUGUAUAAGUGCAAGUAUGUCUGCUUGUGUGCAUGUAUGUACAUGUGUGCGUACAUGCAUGUUUAUAUAUAUGUUGUAGCAUGUAUAUAUGUAUUUGUGUGUGUGUGUGUGUGAGUGUGUGUAUGUGUGUGAGUGAGUGAGAGAGAGAGAGAGAGAGAGAGAGAGAGAGAAAGAAAGAAAGAGAGAGAGAGUGGUUGUUGUAAAUUCCUAUGGAGAAGAUGGUAGUGUGGGACUGAUUUUGUUUCUUUUAUACUUUGCAUUAUUAGUGCAUAACUGAUUCUUAAAUAUUUAUGUUCUUUAUCUCUGUGUAUGUGUGUGUGUGUUGCCUGCGAGCAUGUGUGUGUGUGUGUAUGUGAGUUUGGAAGUGUGAAUGUGAGUAUGCAUUUGAGCAUGUGCUCGUAUGUGUGUUUGUGUGUGUGUGUGUGUGUGUGUGUGUGUGUGUAUGCGCAUGCACAGAUUUACGUGUGUAAUUGUGUAUGAGCAUAUAUGUCGGUGCGUUUUAAAGGUAAGAGGAAAAGAAUACUCAAUAUAUGUUGUAAGAUUGUUUAAACAUUUGUUGUAUGCAUGUGUGCGUACAUAUGUAUAUAUAUAUAUAUGUGUGUGUGUGUGUAAAUAGAUACAUACAUGCAUACAAACGCACACACACAAACACAACUCUGUAAUUGUUUAAACUUUAAAGCCGUGGUCAUGAUCGGACACCAUAUAUAUAUAUCAUCAUCAUCAUCAUCAUCAUCAUCAUCAUUUAACGUCCGCUUUCCAUGCUAGCAUGGGUUGGACGGUUCAACUGGGGUCUGGGGAGCCCGAAAGCUGCACCAGUCCAGUCAGAUCUGGCAGUGUUUCUACAGCUGGAUGCCCUUCCUAACGCCAACCACUCCGAGAGUGUAGUGGGUGAUUUUAUGUCCCACCGACACAGGUGCCAGACGAGGCUGGCAAACGGCCACGCUCGGAUGGUGUUUUUUAUGUGCCACCGACACAGGUGCCAGACGAGGCUGGCAGACGGCCACGCUCGGAUGUUGUUUUUAUGUGCCACCGACACAGGUGCCAGAUGAGGCUGGCAAACGGCCACGAUCGGAUGGUGCUUGUUACGUGCCCACAGCACGGAGGCGAGUCGAUGCGGUACUGGCUACGGCCACAUUCGGAUGGUUUUCUUGUGUGCCACGUGCCACCGGCACUGGUACCACAAAGAUACAAAUUCCAUUGAUGUUCAUCUAUUUUGAUUUGUUUUGAUUUUCACUUGCCUCAACAGGUCUUCACAAGUGUCACAAGAAGGAAGGUAUGCACAGGUGGACUGACUACGUCCCAGGUAGGGGCCAUGGGUUAUGGCCUGACUAGUCUUGCCGGGUCUUCGGAUGGUGUUUUUAUGUGCCACCGACACAGGUGCUAGAUGAGGCUGGCGAACGGCCACGAUCGGAUGGUGUUUGUCAUGUGCCCACCGCACUGACUACAGCACUGAUGGAUUUCUUGUGUGCCACAGGCACUGGUACCACAAGAUACAAAUUCCAUUGAUGUUCAUCUAUUUUGUCUAUUUUGAUUUGAUUUGAUUUGAUUUUCACUUGCCUCAACCGGUCUUCACAAGUGUCACAAGAAGGAAGGAAGGAAGGUAUGCACAGGUGGACUGACUAGUCUUGCCGGGUCUUCGGAAGGUGUUUUUAUGUGCCACCGACACAGGUGCCAGAUGAGGCUGGCGAACGGCCAUGAUCGGAUGGUGUUUGUUACGUUCCCACAGCACGGAGGCCGGUCGAUGCGGUACUGGCUACGGCCACGUUCGGAUGGUUCUCUUGUGUGCCACCGGCACUGGUACCACAAAGUGUGUGCCACCGGCACUGGUACCACAAAGAUACAGAUUCCAUUUAUGUUCAUCUAUUUUGAUUUGUUUUGAUUUUGAUUUUCACUUGCCUCAACAGGUCUUCACAAGUGUCACAAGAAGGAAGGAAUGCAUAGGUGGACUGACUACGUCCCAGGUAGGGGCCAUGGGUUAUGGCCUGACUAGUCUUGCCGGGUCUUCGGAUGGUGUUUUUAUGUGCCACCGACACAGGUGCUAGAUGAGGCUGGCGAACGGCCACGAUCGGAUGGUGUUUGUCAUGUGCCCACAGCACGGAGGCCAGUCGAUGCGGUACUGGCUACGGCCACUUUCGGAUGGUUUUCUCUUGUGUGCCACCGGCACAUGGUUUUCUCUUGUGUGCCACCGGCACUGGUACCACAAAGAUACAAAUUCCAUUGAUGUUCAUCUAUUUUGAUUUGAUUUUGAUUUUGAUCUUCACUUGCCUCAACAGGCCUUCACAAGUAUCACAAGGAGGAAGGUAUGCACAGGUGGACUGACUACGUCCCAGGUAGGGGCCAUGGUUUAUGGCCUGACUAGCCUUGCCGGGUCUUCGGAUGGUGUUUUUAUGUGCCACCGACACAGGUGCUAGAUGAGGCUGGCGAACGGCCACGACCGGAUGGUGUUUGUUAUGUGUCCACAGCACGAUGGCCAGUGAUGCGGUACUGACUACGGCCAUGUUUGGAUGGAUUCUUGUGUGCCACCGGCACUGGUACCACAAGCGGUACUGACUACUUUUUAUGUGCCACCGACACAGGUGCUAGAUGAGGCUGGCGAACGGCCACGACCGGAUGGUGUUUGUUAUGUGCCCACAGCACGAUGGCCAGUGAUGCGGUACUGACUACGGCCACGUUCGGAUGGAUUCUUGUGUGCCACCGGCACUGGUACCACAAGCGGUAUAUAUAUAUAUAUAUAUAUAUAUAUAUAUAUAUAUAUAUACACACAUAUAUAUACAUACAUACAUAUAUGCAAACAUAAAAUUGACUAUUCAAACCAAAAAAACGAAAUAACUGUAAUUUUUGCAACCCAGAGUUGGAUCCUUUGGAUAAACAGUGUUUAAGUAACUACAUUGUGUAACAUACCACCACAAUGAGCAAUAAGAUAGCAGUACUUUCUUUUUCAUCUGCUUAACAGAUAAAUCAUUUAAGAGCCAACUAUAGCAUCAUUAGAACUCUUUCAAACAGUGUCACAAGAGAAAUCCCUACAUAUUUAUUGUAAGUACAGCUGGCAAAAGGAGAUCGUGUUGACAUUGUAUGUGAUUGUGUUGACAUUGCAUUGCUUACUUUGUACAUAGCCACACCACAAAAAACAAUUCAAAAUAGUGCAAUUUCAAUUUGACUAUGAAAUUGCAUCUAAACCAUUUGACACCAAUAAUGCACAGAAGGCCAGAGUUAGUGUUGAUUUGCAGGCACAAUAAGAUUGCUACUAUCACUUUUCAAAGCAAUAAUUGAUAUUAACAUCUCACAUCACAUAUAUAUCAUCUUGAGUCUGAUGUAAAUUUUUCAUUCCAAAUUUCUGGAUACUAACCUAAUGUGAGAAUUUUUUCUCCUCAGUUAAAUUGCAGUAAAGUAGCUUUUACAAGUUGAAAUAAAUCCCAGACAUAUGUGAACUGAUCUAAAGUUUGUUAAUAUAUAUAUCUUAGAUAUGCUAAAAUGAGACAACAUUUCUGGUGCUGGUGAACAUAUGAAUGGAAACAACACAGAGUAAAGAAGUCUUUAUAGUCUUGCCAAGGACUAGAUAAUGUCUCCAGCAUUACGGCAUGGGUGCCAGUUAUGUGACACCAACAAUGGCCACAACUAUUUCACUUGGCUUGAUGGGUCUUCUCAAGCACAGCAUAUCGCCAAAGGUCUCAAUCACUAGUCAUUGCCUUCUUGAGGCCCAAUGUUCAAAGAUCAUGCUUCACCACCUCAUCCCAUAUCUUCCUGGGUCUCCUUCUUCCACAGUCUCCUCCCACAGUUAGAGAUCAGCACCACUUCUUCAUACAGCCCUCCACAUUCAUAUGCAUCACAUGACCAUACUAAUGCAGUUAUCUCUCUUGCAAACCAAAUCUGAUGCCUCUUAUGCCUAACCUUUCUCUCAAGACUUUUUACACUCUGUCAUACAUGUACACUGAUAUUGCACAUCCAGUGAAGCAUACUAGCUUCAUUUCUUUCAAGCUUACACAUGUCCUCAACAGUAACAGCCCAUGUUUCACUGCCAUGUAGCAUGGUUGUUAUGCACACAUACACACAUACUAUAUAAAUAAUUUGUUAUUAAUGUUAAUUUACAAUACACAACUAUUUGUUAAGAAACCAAUAUAUUAUAGUGUGGUUGUAGGGUUAAGAAGGUUGUUUCUCAACUUCUUAGUUCUAGCCUAGUCCUACUGCACAAAACUUUGAGCAAAUGUCUUCUACUAUAGGCUGACCAAAGCAUUGUGAAUGGAUUCAGUAGAUAUAUAUGAAGGAAAAAAAAAAGGAUUAAAGAAUCAAGGCAAAUACUUUAUAAGCAACUAAAUUGUCCCAUGGAUGCCAUGGUAAUCAGCAUAGGUUGUAAAUUCACUUUUUACUACCUGCCCAAUUGGUAAAUCUGAAGUUCAAACACUCAAUGGAUUCUGUAUAAAUUCAGUAUGUAGUCACAGAGUACAAUAAAAAAAACACAAAAGAAUGGAGGUCCAUGAUAUAUCAGCUACAUAUAUUUCAAAUAGAAUAGCAUACCUCAAAAUACUGCAAUGUUAACAUUGUUAUGCACAACUUAAUUGAUCCCAUAGUUGAUUGAUUAAAAUGUUAAAGAGAAAGAAGAAUUCAACAUUUCGUUUUUGGAUUUGGUUUGCAAGAUUCUUUAUAUGAGUUUGUAUGUUGAAGCAUAUUCUAUCGUGUCUGGGGAGAGUCAUUUUCUUUUGUGCUUUAUUAUGUAACACACUCACUGGUAAAAUUUCCACGUUUUUCUUAUUUUUAUUGUCCUAAAAGUCAAAAUUAUUGAAAAGGUUGCAAGACAACGAAAAUUUUAGGACAAUAAAAAUAAGAAAAACGUGGAAAUUUUACUGGUGAGUGUGUUACGUAAUAAGGCACAAAAAGAAAAUGACUCUCCCCAGACACAAUAGAAUUCAACAUUAUUCUAUACUUAUCAAAGCUGUAUCCCUACUGUUUAUAUGAUUGAACAUUUUAGGGAAUAAGAAGCAAAUUUAGGUUGGCUUAUUGCUCUAUUUAUAUUUAUAUUUAUAUUUCUUUAUAGAUCUACUUCAUAUUCCUACUUAUCAGAUCAUGAUAGAAUUGGAAUUUAAUAUGUAAUGUAUUCCAGCAAACCAGGAAGCUAAAUGAAUACUAAUGACAAUACUUAGUGCCUGUCUCACUUAUACUUUUUUUGACCAUUUACAAAGAUAUUGUGGUGUAUGUUGAAAUAAGCCCAUUUUAGUAGAAGCAUUAAUCAGGUCAUAAAAAUUUUAAUGCUAUCUGUAAUACUUCUCAAUAUGUAUACAAUGAACAGAGGAAGACAGGCUGAAUUAGUGAGAAUUCUAAAGGUAAAAUAUUAGGAAAGAUGGUAUUCAUUAAGGAAUACUUCAUUUCAUUUUAGAAUACUAUGUAUCAUAAAGGAUAAUUAUGUUAAGAUAAGAUAGAUCAGAUAAAGCAAUUUUAAAAAUAUAAAAUAAAAUUCUAAAUAAAAUAGAUUAGAUUAAAUCAGAGGCUACUUUCUCUAACUGCUAUGUGUCAUUUAAUCCAUAAGUAAGUUAACCCUAAGAAGUAUAUACUCCGUUAUAAAAAUGUUAAACCUCUAAAAAAGAUGAAAAAAUUAAAGAUUAAAAAGUAAAAAUUCUAUUAAUGCAAUAUAGUUAAAAAUCAAAAGAUAAUUAAAAAAUAAUUUAAAGAAAUAAUUGAAAUAAUUAGAUGAUUAAAGUACUUUAAAAUAUUUUAAGAAAUUAAAAUUAAAAGAUUUAAAUAAUUUUUAAAAUAAUCAAAAAUAAUUAAGUAAUAAUUAAAAAGUAAAAUAGUUAAAAAAAUUUUUUUUAACCAUAUAUUUAGAUGUUCAUGAUUACUUAAUUUACUAGCAUUAUGUGUUGCUAUAAUUUCAACCAAGUUUCUGGUGGUUGAAUAAGCAAAUUUAAUUGUGUAUCUGUUAAAUAACCUGUCAUAUUUCCUAGAUGUGGUCUGGUUGCUGGGGUCAUGUACUCCUUAUGGAAUUCCCUCUGGCACCACUGCUCUAUCUCCUGGAAGAUGAGGCUCUGCAUCUACAAUGCAUUGGUUCUUUCCAUUCUCCUCUAUGGAGCAGAAAUGUGGGCCCUCUUGACAACCCUGACUCGGAUAACUUUUGAUAGGAUUUCAAGACAUAACAGUGCUUAUAGUGGUGUGAAAAGAAUUUUGAAUCCAGUUGAAAUGUUCAGACAACAGUCAAGAUGAAGAGCUGUCUGCAUUAUGAGUUCAAAGGCUAUCAGGUCAAGGUUAGCUGUUCCUUUUAUCCAUUUAGACUUCAUAAAGUACCAGUCCACUAGCCCUAUACCAGUGUCAAUUCUUCUUCUUCUUCUUCUUCUUCUUCUUCUUCUUCUUCUUCUUCUUCUUCUUCUUCUUCUUCUUCUUCUUCUUCUUCUUCUUCUUCUUCUUCUUCUUCUUCUUCUUCAGUUUUAAGGCUCAGGCAGUGAGUUACAUAAUCAUGAUAUUUAAUAAUCAUAGUUGUAACUCUAAAGUUUUAAUCUGGGUUUAGUAUUGUUUUGGUUUCUCAUUUCAUCCUCAUUGCUUCAACCACAAUCGCUGCCGCCGCCACCACCACCACCACCACCACCACCACCACCACCACCACCACCACCACCACCACCAUCAUCAUCAUCAUCGUCAUCGUUGUCGUCGUCAUCAUCAUCAUCAUCAUCGUCAUCAUCAUCGUCAUCAUCAUCAUCGUCAUCGUCCUCACUUUUAUCUGUAACAUUAUGCUGGUCUGUUGUGCUUACAUUUUACAAAGGUUGUGACAAGAACAUUCCAUUAGUAAUCUUUCACAUGUAAUAUACGUAACAUUCAUACAUACAUGUAUUUAUCUAUGUGGCUACAUGUAUAUAUAAUAUAUACAUUUGUUGGAGUUUAUGCAUGUUUGUGUGUGUGUGUGUGUGCAGGUACUGAGAAAUUGUGAAUACCUAAUAGGAAAAUUGGUCUAAUGACUGACAAUUAUCUCUGAUGGUAAACAAGAGAUAUGAGUUUGGUUCCAUUUAUUCCUGUUUACAGACAUUCUCAGGAGGUUAUUCCUGAUUUAAAUGCCAUCUGCAUGUUUGUGAUUAUUUGCCAUCCUUGGAAUGUUAUUUAUGAAUUCAUAUUAUGUAAUAUGGUUUAAUGGUAAAGAUCUUUGCUAUUUCCUUAUGGUUUGCUAAGACAGGUCAGAGAAAUGGGUUGCCAUUCAGUAGAGCAAUGGAUUAGACAUUUUUGCAUAUUUUGUAAAACCUUAUUUUUUGAGUUCAAAUCCUACCAGUGCCAACUUUGGCUUUCUUCCAGCAAGAUUCAGUAAAUGAAGGGCCUGUGGCUUUAAUCAUGCACCUGGCUGGGUGGUUAAGAAGCUAGCAGCUCAGUCAUGUGUUCAUGACUUCAGUCCCACUGUGAUGCACUUUAGGCAAGUGUUUUCUACUAUAGAUCUGUGCUGAUGAAAGCCUUGUGAGUGGAUUUGAUUAAUGGAAACUGAAGGAAGCCCAUCUCUCUCUCUCUCUCUCUCUCUCUCUCUCUCUCUCUCUCUCUCUUUCUCUCUAUCUAUCUAUCUAUCUACUUACCUACCCGUCUGUCUGUCUGUCUGUUUGCCAUCUAUAUACACACAUAUACAUGCAAACAUACACAUACACACUUUCUCUCUCUCACAUAAACACACACACACACAUUCGUGUAUCAUACUUAAUGCAGAUACAUUAUGGAAAGCCUAAUUAACUGCAGUAUCAUCCUGAGAUAUAUCUUAUAGAUGUACUGUGUUAAAUAACGCAAGAAUAUAUCAGUAGCAAAAGAAAAUGGUCCAGCAGUGGUACUGGUAUUGCUAGAUGUGCAUUUCUGCAUCUUUGGGCUUUGUCAGUAGCAAGUACCUAGUGACAGCUGCUUGCAAAUCCAUUUUCACUGUUAUAGGAAAAUAUUGAUUGAAAAUUUACUAACGUUGUAAUUGUAACAGAAGUAUAUAUUAGUUUAAAAUAGAAAUAUGUAUAUUAUACUUAAUGCAGAUACAUCAGGGAAAGCCUAGUUUAGAGUGGUAUUUGUCAUGGGAUAAUCACCCUUAGAUGUACAGCAUUGAAGAACACAAAAAUCUCUUUGUAAUCGAUGAAAAUCACCCAGCAGCAGUGGUGGCAUUGCUACAUAUGCAUUUCUUCCUCUUUGGGCUUCAUCAGUAGCAAGUAAGGGAAAUCCAUCAUCACUGAAAAAUGUGUUUUCAUGGGGACAGUAAGAAACAUAUGGUGGUAGAGGAGUUGAGAUAAUUUGGUGGCUUGUGAUGGGGUAGGAAUGUAAAAUCUGGGUGAUGAGGACAGUAUAAAAGAUGAAGGAUGGAUAUCAAGGGAAAUGGUUCUAGCUAGUGAGAAAGAUUAGUGUUAUUAAGGGAAAACUGGAGUGAGAGAAAGAUUAAGGAUAGUGGGGGUGUUUUGAGAAGGAAUUUGGUCAAAAGUCCCAGUUGUGCAAACAUGUACAUACAUACACACACACACACACACACACACACACACACACACACACACACACACAGCCAGAUAAUAUCUCCACAACUUUAGAUUUGCUGUGGAGGCAGGUCUUCCCAAGAACUGCAUAUUGCCAUUCAUCCCAGACCUUUGUUAUGUCCUCCAUGAAGUUCAAGGUUCUGAUGUCAGCUUUCACCACUUCAUCUCAUGUCUUACUAAAUCUCCCUCUUUUGCAAGCUCCAUCCAUAUUAGAUAACUGGUGCUUCUUUAUACAGCUGUUCUCAUUUAUUUGCAUCACAUGUCCAUACAAGUGCAGUCUUCUUUCUUGCACACUAUAUCUGAUAACUUAUGCAUCCAGUUUUUCUCUCAACACAAUUGUACUUUAUUGUUCAUGCACACUUACAUUGCACAUUCAGCAGAGCAUACCAGCUUCAUUUCUUUCUAGUCUUCUCAAGUAUUCUGUAUUUAAGUCCCAUUUUCACUAACACCAGCAUCAUAAAAUCUGCCUUCAUGCUGAGGAGCGAUACCUUCACUGCUAACAGUAGUAGAAACUCACUGAGCUUUUCCCAACUUGUUCUUAACUUAGCCAUUAUGCUUGUCCCUUCUAAUGUUGGAUAACCCUAGAACCUACUCCUUUAUAUAAAUCUAUCACCUUUCAACUCUAUCCUAUUUUCUCAGUGACCCCUGUUGCUAAUACCUUCCCUCUCUCCUAUUCUCUGUGAUACUCUCCUUUUACCUAACAUCCCUCAUCCCUCUGCUGAGGAUCAUCACUCACUCUCUUCCGUUCUCCAUUAGUUUAUAGGGACUACUUUAAGUCCUUACAUUUGCUAGUUACAAGGCGAUCUCCAUCAGUGCUGAUGUCAUGAAAAAUGCAUAGACUUCACACUGUAAAGUGGUUGGUAUUUGGAAGAACAUCAAGCAGUAGAGCUCAUAAUAAAGAAGACAUUGGAAGAAGACAUCAAAGUAUGAUGUUGUUCUCCAACUCGUCACACCCCAGCAAACCAUCCAACUCAUGGCAGCAUGGAAGCUGGAUAUUAAAUGAUGUCGAUGAGGUAGAUAUAUAUGUAUAUCAUUGAGAGUUGAGUGUAACCAAGAGCAGAAACCUAAGCACAUAUUUUCUACAGACUACAUACCCAUAUAAUCUUGCUCAUCAUGCAUACAUAUAUACUUAUACAUACAUAUACAUAUUUACAAAUAUAUGCAUAUAUAUAAAGAUCUAUCUAUCUAUCUAUCUAUCUAUCUAUCUAUCUAUCUAUCUAUCUAUCUAUCUAUCUAUCUAUCUAUCUAUCUAUCUAUCAAUCUAUCUAUAUAUAUAUAUAUAUAUACACACACACACAUAUAUAUAAUAUAUAAAUAUAUAUACACACAUAUAUAUAAAUGUAUAUGCACAUUGGUGAAUGUUUUCAUCUACUCACCUUCAAAUUUAUUUACAUUGUGUGUGAAUGUAUGUGUAUGUGUGUGUUUCUGUGUGUACACCUAUGUUUAUGUUUGUGUAUACAUGAGACCUGUUAUACAUUGACACACAUACACACACACACACACACACACACAUAAACACACACACACACACACACAUGCACACAUGCACAGGCAUAUAUUUCUCUGUGCUCAUAUAAGCGUGUGAUUGUGUAUCUGCGUAUGUAUACAUGUGUAUGUAAUUGUGUGCGCGCGUCUGUGUGUGUGUAUGUGUGUGUGUGUGUGUGUGUGUGUGUGUACCUUAAACAAACAGUUGAAUUAUUGGUGUUUGUAAGAAACAAAGGUCUUCCUGUCUCACCAAAGAUGUGCAGAUAUGUCUAAACAUGAUAUUUCUACCUGUUUAUCACUGACUCUUCGUUUCUCGACUAACUUCAAAGCGCAUAGUCCUCCUUCUCUUUCUCUCUCUCUCUCUCUCUCUCUCUCUCUCUCUCUCUUUCUCUCUCUCUCUCUCUGUCUUCUUUGUUGCCUUUGAUUUAUCUCUCGUUGUUACAACAGUUAUUGAUGAAAUAUUACUGAGGUAUCAACCUGCUAAAAACAAUAUGAACUGUUGAAAAAUCUAUAGUUUUCUUUUUUUAAUGGUAGAUACAUCUUAUACAAUUUUUUUUUUAAUGUCUCUCAGUUAGUUUGUCUUUCCUUUUUCUUUCUCAUCUUCAUUUUAUCUUCUUUUCCUUUAUUUAUGUGAUUAGAUUAAAGUCUGAUAAAUUUUUAUGAAAUACGUUUUUAGAAUCCUUUAAAUUAAUAUAUGCGUGUGUGUGUGUGUGUGUGUGUGUGUGUGUGUGUGUGUGUGUGUGUGUAUGUGUGUAUGAGUGUGUGUGUGUCUAAUGAUUCUUACCAUCUUUAUUCAAAUUUUCGUUUUCUCACCAUGGUGGUAUAAUAUAUAUAUGCCAGCACCCCUAUAUAUGUAUGUAUGUAUGUAUGUAUGUAUGUAUGUAUGUAUGUAUGUAUGUAUGUUAUGUAUGUACGUAUGUACGUACGUACGUACGUAUGCAUGUAUGUUUGUGAGUACAUACACACACACACACACAUGCACACACAUAACUGGCACUCUGUUGGUUCUGAGGAUGAGGGUUCCAAUUGAUCCAAUCAACGGAACAGUCUGCUCAUGAAAUUAAUAUGCAAGUGGCUGAGCACUCCAUAGACACGUGUACUCUUAAUGUAGUUCUUAGGCAGGUUCAGCAUGACGCAUACUGUGCCAAGGCUGUCCCUCUGAAAUACAGGUAUUACUCAUUUUUGCCAGCUCAGUGGGCUGGUGCAAUGUGAAAUAAAGAGUCUUGCUCAAGGUCACAAUGUGCUGCUAGGAACUAAACUUAUGACCUUACAACUGUCAGUCAAUUACCCUAACCAGUAAUUGAGAGGUCCUCUCAUGGUAGAUAACGCAGCGGCGAGCUGGUAGACACGUUAGCGUGCCGGGCAAAAUGCUUUGCGGUAUUUCGUCUGCCGUUACGUUCUGAGUUCAAAUUCCGCUGAGGUCGACUUUACCUUUCAUCCAUUCGGGGUCGAUAAAUUAAGUACCAGUUAUGCACUGGUGUCGAUAUAAUCGACUUAAUCCGUCUGUCUGUCCUUGUUUGUCUUCUCUGUGUUUAGCUCCUUGUGGGUAGUAAAGAAAUAGGUAUUUCAUCUGCCAUUACGUUCUGAGUUCAAAUGCCGCCGAGGUCGACUUUGCCUUUCAUCCUUUUGGGGUUGAUAACUUAAGUACCAGUUAUGCACUGGGGUCAAUAUAAUCGACUUAAUCUGUCUGUUUGUCCUCUGUGUUUAGCCCCUUGUGGGUAGUAAAGAAAUAGGUAAAUAAUGCAGUAAACUGCAUUUUAAUACCAUACACACAUUAAGUGGGAGAUAAAUAUUACCUUUAUAUCUAUGAGGAAUUAACUGUGUAAAAAUCAAUAUGAAGAGUACUCCAUCCAAUGAGAGUUCAAUAUUACUAAACGUUUCAACUACAUGUACUUCUCGCACAGCUAAUAGUUUCCUGUACCUGUGUAUGUUCAUCAGGCGUCAUUUGCACUAUACUCCCAAAACUUUAGUUUAAAUAGUGCCAAUUUUAAACUGUUCCUCUGUUUAAACUAAAGUUUUGGGAGUAUAGUGCGCUUGACGCCUGAUGAACGUAUGCAUGUAUGGGAAACUCUUAGUUGUGUGACACACAUAUAUGCUUGAAUAUAAAUAUGCAUAUGCACUGCAGCAUUACUUAGAUAUUAAAAUGAAGACUAAACUGCUGUUUUAUUAUUUCUGUAUGCUUAAUUACUACGCAAACUACAUAUCAUUACAAGGUAGCAUUUUGCUGUUUAAAAUGACAUGGUUGAAACAAAAAUGUUAAUUACAGUAAUUCUAUUACUGAUAGUAUUAAGAAAGCCACACAAAUGAAUGUCAUUUAAUAUAAGAACAUUUUAGAAAAAGGUAUUUUAAUUUUAAAAUUCAGUAUUUUACUUUGAGUAAGACCUAUUGUAAUAGUUAGUUCAUUAUAUCUGCUGAAGAUCUGAUGUGUUGCGUAAACAAGAAAGUUUUUCAUUAGGGAUAUAACCAUGGAUUAUCUAACUGUAUAAGUUAAAAUUAACUUUUCAAGUCAUAGCUACUAGAAGUUGGACUCUCAGUAUAUACCACUGACCAUGUUGCAGGCAUCUUCAAUGAAACUGGUGGUUAUUUGACUAUCCUUGGUUAGUAUACUAAUAACUCUUUUUAAGAUGGACAUUGUGUAUAUACCAUGACAAUGUUGUAGAUAUCUUUAGUGAAACUGGUGGUUAUUUGACCUCCUUCAGUCAGAGUAGCCAUGAAAAAACUCCAUUCAUAAAUAAGAGCAGAAAAAUGACCACUAUUAACUUUUUGACUGAUGUUUGACAGAAAUAGUACAUGAUGCAGGUUGUUGGUAACACCACAAACAAUAUCUAUUUGACAACUUAGGCCUAAGCUAUUUCUGACUUAAUAAUAUUGCCUGAAGUAGUCUUUUAAGUCAUGUUUUAGGACACCAUAGCACACAUGUAAAAUAAUGUAUAUUUCUCUGAGAAACUGACAUACCUGCACUUAAUUUCAUGAGGAGCAUGUGAACUGGAUGUCAUAUGUCUGGUCAGAAAUCAUGUUUGUAGAGGAGUUAGAAUUUGUUUGGCUCUGAUAACUAUGUGCAUGUCCAAUGUCAUACAGGAGAAGAAUUUCACCCAGGGUGCAUUAUUCUGAGUUUAACCAUUUUGAUACCAACUGACCUAAAAAUUUCCUUGGUUUUAUGACAUAAAGUUCUUGAUUGAAGUGAUGCAAUUAAAACCUCCCAUCCAAAUUUCAUGCUAAUUUAGGUUUCAAAUAGCUGUUCAAUAAUGACAACAUUAUUUGACUAAAUUAUUAUUUUCAAAAGUAAUUGGAAGAAAGACAGUAUAUUUCAACAGAAAUAUUGUAACAAGAGGGUUAAACAGGAUGUUGGCAAUGUAAUGGGUUGGAGUUGCAUGUCUGGAAAAGGGUCAAUCCUAACAACCAGAUCAAGGGCAUUACAAACAGUACAACUUGUUUAGAGGUCUUGGAGAAGACUAUGAAUUCAUGAAGUAAGAGUGAUGUGAGGUGGUAUGGAUUUUUCAGUAUGGGAAAUUUCUAAAGUAAGUUAUAGAAUGUAGUCUAUAACUUCUGGUGUACUGAGGGACGGUGCAGAAACAAGACAACAAAUUGCAUUGGGGAGAUGGAAUUUAGUAUAGAGGAGUGAAUAGGCAAACAUUGGCAGGAGCUCAAAGAGGAGAAAAGUUUGUCAGUGCUCUACCAACAUGCUCAAGUAGAACAUAGAGAUUUAGUUAAUAACAUAGAGGUUAAGGUAUUACCAACACAUACAACAGACAUGACACUUAGAUUACAAAGGUCACACACAUAGUAAUAGACAGACAGAGCCUCAACAGAAAACAUGAAUGGAACAAUAACACUCCACCAUCACUGCCACCACACCAAGCAAAACAACAACUAAAGAGAGCAGGGAGAAAAAAAAAGACACAAAUACAAACAGUAUAAUACAUAUACAUAAAAAAAAAGACAUGCAUAUGCUUAUGAUGAAAUAAGUAAACAAAUGGAAAGAUAGACAAGUAAACAAAUGAAAAAAGACUAUAUGAAGGGCAAACAAUAUAGUAAGUAAACCCAUAUACACUCACAAACACAUAUAUAAAACACAUAGACAUGUGUACACACUCACACACGUGCAUGCACACACACACACACACACAUUCACACACACAUGCACAGAUAAAGAUAGACAUCAUAGAAGCACAGAAUGUACUAAACAGAACAGGAGGAUACAUGUGGAUGGAACAGUUACUGAAGAAAUCACAGAUGUGUGACAAAAGACUUCCAGACAAUGAGCAUAAGAUAAAAAAAAACAACAAUAAACGAGUGAAGAACAAAUAUAUAAUGUGUGUGUUUAUUUGGGUUGGAUGGUUUGAGAGGAGCUGACCAGGUAGAAGACUGUACCAGGCUACUGUGUCUGUUUUGGCAUAGUUUUUACGGUUGGAUGCACUUCCUAAAACCAACCACCCCAUAGACAGGAUUAUAUAUAUAUAUACAUAUAUAUAUGUGUGUGUUUGUGUGUGUGUGUGUGUGUGUGUGCAUGCACGUGUGUGUGUAUGUGUGUACACAUGUCUAUGUGUUUUAUAUAUGUGUUUGUGGGUGUGUAUGGGUUUACUUACUAUAUUGUUUGCCCUUCAUAUAGUCUUUUUUCAUUUGUUUACUCAGUGGUUAGAGUAUCGGCCUCACAAUCAUGAGGUAGUGAGUUCAGUUCCUGGACCAAGCUGAGUAUUGGAUUUUUGAGCAAGACAUUUUAUUUCACGUUGCUCCAGUUCACUUAGCUGUAGAAAUGAGUUGUGACACUGCUGGUGCCAAGCUGUGUCAGCCUUUGCCUUUCCCUUGGAUAACAUCGUGGCAUGGAGAGGAGAGGCUGGUCUGCAAGGGUAAUUUCCAUAAACAACCUUGCCUGGACUUGUGCCUCAGAGGGUAACUUUCUAGGUGCAAUCCUGUGGUCAUUCAUGUCUGAAGAGGGUCCUCUCCUUGUGUGAGGGGAAGUCAAAAAUUACCCACACUUUCGCCACAACAUACCUUUAUUAUUGUCACACUGCUUUCUGCACAUGUGUGCUUAUAGUUGGUACAAUUGUGGUAACAUGAUGAAAGUUUGAGCUUGAUCACACCAUUUUUCUUUCUGGCUUUACAGUAUAAGCAUGGCCACUCCACUAGCAAUGUGCACCAAAGAAGAACAAAGAGCAGUGAUCUGAGACAUGAUAAUGGUGAACCAGUUCACCAUUACCAUCUCUCAAGCUUGCUGAAUCUUCUCAUCUGUGGUGGAGAUUGAUGGGUGCCCUGCUCCCUUUUCAUGCAACACGCUUGUCCAGCCACUUUUAAACUUCGUAAUCCACUCAUACACUCUUCUAUGUGGUAGUGCACUGUCCCUGUAUUGUGCUAAAAGCUUCUGAAGAAUUUCAGCACUUGACACACCUUGCAACCACAGAAGUCGGAUCACUGCUCUUUGUUCUUCUUUGGUGCACAUUGCUAAUGGAAUGCUUACACUGUAAAGCCAGAAAGAAAAAUUGUGUGAUCAGGCUCAAACUUCGAUCCUGUGACCACAAUAGUGCCAACUAUAAGCACACAUAAACAGAAAGUAGUGCAACAAUAAUAAAGGUAUGUUAUGGUGAAAGUGCAGAUAAUUUUUGACUAUUCCUCAUGUGUAUAUAUAUAUAUAUAUAUAUAUAUAUAUAUAUAUAUAUAAUUAAUAUUUAGGGUAUCUAAGAGAUACUACCACACUGGAAAUAGCAACCAAAACUUGGCUGCUAUUUCCAGCAUGGUGGUAUCUCUUAGAUACCCUAAAUUAUAAUUUUAAUAAUAAUUAUUACCUUUGAAGCUUUUUAUUCCCAUGCUGGCCACUUGAUAAGAUUGAUAUUUAAAUAACGACCUUAUCCUUAUUUAUAUAAAUUUAUAUGUGUGUAUAUAUAUAUGUAUAUAUAUAUAUAUAUAUAUAUAUAUCAGCACCGCCUCGACUGGCCUCCGUGCCGGUGGCACGUAAAAUACACCAAUCCGACCGUGGCCAUUGCCAGCCUCGCCUGGCACCUGUGCAGGUGGCACGUAAAAAGCACCCACUACACUCACAGAGUGGUUGGCGUUAGGAAGGGCAUCCAGCUGUAGAAACAUUGCCAGAUAAGACUGGAGUCUGGUGCAGCCUUCUGGCUUCCCAGAUCCCCGGUCGAACCGUCCAACCCAUGCUAGCAUGGACAACGGACGUUAAACGAUGAUGAUGAUGAUGAUGAUGAUGAUGAUGAUGAUGAUAUAUAUAUAUAUAUAUAUAUAUAUAUAUAUAUAUAUAUAUAUAUAUAUAUAUAUAUAUAUGAUAUAUAUAUGAUAUAUAUAUAUAUAUACACAUCAUGAUGAUGAUGAUGAUGAUAUAUAUAUAUAUAUAUCAUCAUCAUCAUCAUCAUCAUCAUCGUUUAAUGUCCGUUCUCCAUGCUAGCAUGGGUUGGACGGUUCGACCGGGGAUCUGGGAAGCCAGAAGGCUGUACCAGGCUCCGGUCUUAUCUGGCAAUGUUUCUACAGCUGGAUGCCCUUCCUAACGCCAAUGCCCUUCCUAACGCCACAUAUAUAUAUAUAUACAUUUUGGUUUUUUGCUGAGAUUUGUCUUGAGAACACAUUCUUCGUGGUAAUGGCGAUUUGUCAUCUAUGUUUAGCAUAUAAGCUGUCCACUUCUUGUGGUCAGUCCUCUAAAUUUUGUAUAUAUAUAUAUAUAUAUAUGCAUAUAUACACUUAUAUAUAUGGUAGACUCAUCAUAAACAAUAACUUAUACUGGUGCAUUGUGUGCCAUACAUCAGAUCUUGAAGUGAUCGCAGAACAACAUGAAAUGAAGUGGUUUACUCUUGGACACAAUGCACUGCUCAGUGUAGGAAUUGAAACCAUUAUCUUGUGAUCAUGAGCACAACACUUUAACCAGUAGGCCACAUACAUUUACACACACACACACUCACAUGCACACACAUGUUUGUGUGAGUACGUAUGUAUUUGUGUGUGUGGAUAUAUAUACCGUAAUUCCUCAACUAUCGCAGGUGUUACUUUCCAAAACCUCUUCCAAUAGGUGAAAAGUAGAAACAGCGCUGUACUGUAUAUUUUUAAAAAUUAUUUUCAUAAUUUGUAUAUAUAUAUAUUAUUGUAAAUGCAAAACAAUACCAUGGAGGAAUUGACAUAUGCUUAAAUAAUAAACUGUGACAGGUGAACUGUGAUAGGUGAACUGUGAUAGAUGAACCAUGAUAGGUGAACUACGAUAGGUGAACUGUGAUAGGUGAACGGUCAUAGGUGAACUGUGAUAGGUGAACUGCAAUAAGUGAACCGUGAUAGGUGAAUUGCAAUAAGUGAACCAUGAUAGGUGAACUGUGAUAGAUGAACCAUGACAGGUGAACUGCGAUAGGUGAACUGUGAUAGGUGAACAGUGAUAGGUGAACUGUGAUAGGUGAACUGCAAUAAGUGAACCGUGAUAGGUGAACUGCGAUAUGUGAACCGUGAUAGGUGAACUGCAAUAAGUGAACCAUGAUAGGUGAACUGCAAUAAGUGAACCAUGGUAGGUGAACUGCAAUAAGUGAACCAUGAUAGGUGAACUGUGAUAGGUGAACUGCAAUAAGUGAACCGUGAUAGGUGAACUGCAAUAAGUGAACCAUGAUAGGUGAACUUCAAUAAGUGAUUCGUGAUAGGUGAACUGUAAUAAGUGAACCAUGAUAGGUGAACUGCAAUAAGUGAACCAUGAUAGAUGAACUGCAAUAAGUGAACCGUGAUAGGUCAACUGUGACAGGUGAACUGUGAUAGGUGAACUGCGAUAGGUGAACUAUGAUGUAGUGAGGGAUUACUGUAUAUAUACAAACUUAACCUACCCAUAUGGUGUGUAAUGAUCAAAUAUAUGUCUGUACACACAUGUCUCUGUAUACAUGGACACAAUUUAUAUGCCAUUUGUAGUUGCCAGUCUUUCCCCACCAUCUGUACAUAUGCACAUGUUUGUGUUUAUUAACUCAUGAUAUAAUUUGUUUUACUAUUUAGGCCUUGUAGAGUCAUAACAAUGUCUGCUGUUUGUAUUGUGUUGUCAAUAAUGGCGUGUGAGAAAUACGCAGCAAAUAUGCUUCCAGAUCAAUAAUGGUUUUCUUAUUAUAAAUAUAUGGUUCACCUGAAAAUUCAAUCAGACUUUGAAAUCUCAGUCACCAAUCACUUGAUCACAGUUUCGGUAAAAAGAAAAAUAAUAAAUAAAUAAAUCCCUUAGUCAGGACUGAAAUGAUUUUUCUGUUACAAGUAAUUAUCUUUGGCUGAGUGGUUAAAGAAUCUUGCUUUCCAACCACAUGGUUUCAGGUUCAAUCCCACUGGACUGACCAAAGCCUUGUGAGUAAUCUGUUAGACAGAAACUGUGUUUUAUAAGUGAGUGUGUGUACCUGUGUGUGUAUGUGUGUUAGUAUGUGUGUUAGUAUGUGUGUUAGUAUGUGUGUUAGUAUGUGUGUUAUGUGUGUUAGUAUGUGUGUGUGUGUAUGUGUGUGUGUAUGUAGAUGUGUCCUUGUUUUGGUAUUCUGUGACAAUGAUCCUCAUCAUCAUUUAGCGUCUGCUUUCCAUGCUGGCAUGGGUUAGACGGUUUGACUGAAACUAGUAAGCUGGAGAGCUGAACCAGGUUCUAAUCUAAUUUGCAUGGUUUCUGUGGUGGGAUGCUCUUCCUAAUGCCAACCACUCCAAGAGUGUAAUGGGUCCUUUUUACAUGCCACUGGCAUGGGUGCCAGUUACAUGACACCGACAUCGGUCACAAGUACUGGCUUGACAAGUCUUCCCAAGCACAACGUAUUGCCAAAGGUCUUGGUCACUUAUUGCCUUUGUGAUGGUUGUAAAUAAGCAUCAGUCAUACAAAUGAUGUUUGUUUUCAGUCUUCCAUGGAAAGCAUCUCUGACCAAGGGGAAAUAUUACCUUGUUAAGAAAUAGGUAUGUGUUGGCCACAGAACAGGCACUCUACCCGAGAAAAUCUGUUUAAAUGAAGUUCAUCUGAUCCAUGCAAGCAAAGACAGGAGCAUUAGCAUGUCAGGCAAAAUGCUUAGCGGCACUUUCGUCCAUCUUUAUGUUCUGAGUUCAAAUUCCACUGAGGUUGACUUAGCCUUUCAUCCUUUUGGGAUCAAUAAAAUAAGCACCAGUUAAACUCUGGCAUUGAUGUAAUUGACUUAUCCCUCCCCCGAAAUUGCUGGCCUUGUGCCAAGAUUUGAAAGUUACAUUUAGCAGAAAUGACAGAGUGACUCAAGGGCCAAAAGCCUUGUGCAGUGGCACUUAUCAAACUUUGUUAAGUGCUAAUGCAUGAGGCUCUCAGCCCUCAAGUCACUGUGUUGCUUCUGCUAAAUGUAUAUAUAAUCAUAUAUAUAUAUAUAUAUAUAAUUCCAAGAAAGUAAGAGGUUGUGAAUCCAACCAACUAAGGGAUAAUAUCUAUCCAAUAUACUGCUGGUAGAAUACCCAAUUAUUAAUACACAAGUAUUUUUUCAUUGCAUGGCAAUUACAUUACCGAGUGUAAUAAAUGAGUGAGGGUAAAAAGUUAUUUUAUCAUUAAUUUAUAGAGCAAUAAGAAAAUGGAGGGGAUCAAUAGGUGGUAUUCAACAGCUAUGUCAAUUUAUUUAUUUACUAAAAGGACAAUUAUAACUAUAUACAUACAUGUAUAACAUCAUAUGCUUUACAUAAAUAAUAUAUAAAAUAUUAAAAUAUCAGUAAUUAUUAAAAUAUAACAUAGAGCAAUAGAAAUUGGGAUAAUAUCUUACAGCUGUUUCAGUCAAGAGGCAAUAAUACCUCAUUCUACUUUUAUCCUUCCAGUGGACUGAAGUAAUUAGUAGAUGAAAUUGAGGUGCUUGGGUGUUUCUCUAGGCUUCGUCAGAGAUUUUAGAAAGUACAUAAGGUUAAGUUAUAAAUAUAAAUAUAACUAUACACAUAUACACAUACUUUUACAUAUACAUAUACAUAAAUAUACAUAAAUACAUAUAUCUACACUUAAAUGUAGAAGCAUAUGUGUAUGUAUAUGCAUACAAAUGAAUCAAUUAUUAUCAUUAUUAUUAUUAUUAUUAUUAUUAUUAUUAUUAUUAUUAUUAUUAUUAUUAUUAGAUGCAUUAUAUUAUUCAUAUUAGAUAAAAUAUAAACAGAGGUAUGAGAAAGUUAUUAUUAGAGGAGUAAUAUUGUAAUUUAUAAACUCAAUAUAUCUUAAGAGAAUUUUAGUUAUGUAAGAAUGAAAUUGUAUAUACAUGAGGAAUACACACAUAUACAUACACAUAUACAUAUACACACACACACACACACACACACACACACAUAUAUAUAUAUAUAUAUAAACAUACAUAUAUAUUUCCGUACAAACAUACUCAUAGGUACAUAUAUAUUAGAUGUGUUUAGAAGGGAGGAUUAAUGCAUCAGUUUGUAUCAUUAUAAUUAUAUAAUAUAAUUAUAUAAUACUAGCAGCAUAGCCCGGCGUUGCCCGGGUAUGUAAGAGCCCCUAGUAGGCAACGACUAAUCCCAAUCUAGUCAUUUCCCUCUAGGGAACGAAGGCGCAUGUGUAGGUUGCAAUGUCUUCUCUUCACUCGAAUACUUCUGUGUAUACGAUGUUCCUAGCUGUCCCUAGCUGUCGAGUUGUGUCCCCUAGACAGAAAAUGUGUUGCAUAUAAAAAGCUUAGAUUCUCGACCCCAUGUCGAAUUUAUCGAUUUUUUUCAGAACUGGGGGAACUUUUCAAAAUUUUCGCUGCGUUAGUUUUGAAUUAUGACAUUGGGCUAUGUGUGUGUCAAGUUUCAUCAGAAUCGGUUGAAAGCCGUGGUCAGGAUGAGGGUACAACCUGACAGACACACAGACACACAGACAGACAAACUGCCGUUUAUAUAUAGAGAGAUGAUUAUAACAAUAAUACACAAACAUAUAUAUAUAUUCAUAUAAACGUGUAAUAUGUUUAUUUUUUCGUUAUUUUUUGCUUAUGGAGUAGUUGAAAUCCUGCAGGAAGUGGGGAAGGGGUUAUUUUUGUUCAGUCGUGUAACCUAAUUGGUCAUCUAUUGUUUUGAAAGGCCUUGACUUUGUUAUGGUUGGUUAAUUGAUAACCGAUAACAUAAAACAAAUCAGGCAAAUAUAUAUAUAUAUAUAUAUAUAACAGCCAAAAUUUGCAAUGAUGAAUCGGUUUCUGACUGAAGAAUGAAGGCUUUGAAUGACCCGUCUGUUUUUUAUGUUCGUCCCUUCAUGUAUUUCACGUUAUUUAUAUUUAUAUAUGUAAAGUUUUAUUAUAUAUAUACAUAUAUAUAUAUAUCAUCAUCAUCAUCAUCAUCAUCGUUUAACGUCCGUUCUCCAUGCUAGCAUGGGUUGGAUGGUUUGACCGGGGAUCUGGGAAGCCAGAAGGCUGCACCAGGCUCCGGUCUUAUCUGCCAGUGUUUCUACAGCUGGAUGCCCUUCCUAACGCCAACCACUCUGUGAGUGUAGUGGGUGCUUUUUACAUGCCACCUGCACAGGUGCCAGGCGAGGCUGGCAACGGCCACGGUCGGAUGGUGCAUUUUACGUGCCACCGGCACGGAAGCCAGUCGAGGCGGCACUGGCAUCGGCCACGAUUCGGAUGGUAUACAUAUAUAUAUAUUUAUUUUUUAUUUUUUUAUUCUUUUAUUUGUUUCAGUCAUUUGACUGCGGCCAUGCUGGAGCACCACUUUAAAGGGCUUUAGUUGCAAGAAUUGAUCUCAGGACUUAUAAUUUGUAAGUCUAGUACUUAUUUUAUAAGUCUCUUUUGCCAAACUGCCAAGUUACAAUGAUGUAAACACAUCAACACCAGUUGUCAAGUGGUGAUGGGGGCAGAGGACAAAUACAGACACAAAGACCACACAUACAUAAAUAUAUACAUAUAUAUAUAUAUAUAUAUAUAUAUAUAUAUAUAAAACUGUAGUUGUGUGAGUGUCUGUCCCCUUCGAUUUAGAUUCCUAACUACUCCCACAUUUUGUGGUGCAGUUUAACCAAAUUCGGGUAUCUUAUAGUCGUGAUUCAUAUCGAGCCCAUCUGAGUAUUAGCGCGCAUCUACGAUGAGUCUACGAUUUUAAAAAUAAUUUAACAUCAUUUUUUAUUCCAUUUUAAUGCAUAAUUUUUCGUGUGUCGAUGGCGGCGGAGUUGGCGUCCAUGGUCACAUCUGCACCUGUUUGCUUCUCCCCCUUCUUCCCUCCCUCGUGAAGCUGUGGGGAAGGGAGUGUAAGGAAAUCAACGUUGUAAAGCGUUGUCAAGGAGACCAGCGUUCUUUUAGAACAACGACUUCAUGGCUUGAAGACACCAAAACAGAAAUGGCUAAGAAAGCCCAAAUUGGCAUCUAUAAGGGAAGUAACUCUCUGAAAAUGCUUAUAUAGUUAUUUCCCUUACAAACCCGAGCAACGCCGGGCAAUACUGCUAGUAUAUAUAUAUAUAUAUAUAUAUAUACAACAUUUCCGUCGACCAAAUCCACUCACAAGUCUUUGGUAGCCCUAAGGCUGUAGUAGAAGAUACUUACCUAAAGUGCCAUGCAGUGGGACUGAACUUGAAACCAUGUCAUUGGGAAGCAAGCUUCUCACCACACAGCCACACCGGCAUCUAUACACACACAUAUAUAUGUAUACACAUAUAUGUAUGUAACUAAGUUUUAUGCAGACACUCUUUUGCUUUUAUACUUGUACUCAUUUAAGUUAUAUAUGCUACCAAAACCAUAACCAUUAAAUUUGUUGUUCUGAGAAGUGGUACCCUACAUAAUCAGACUUAUUAACCACAUUCAUUAUAACUAUGGUGUUUCAUUUCUCCUCUCACCCCCUUGAUGCUAAUUUGCAAUCAUUACUGAUGAUUUUAUACUACCUCUAUUAUUAUCAAACCAUUAAUUAUAUCCAGUUAUCAUAGCAUUUCUAUCCUUGUUCAAUCAUUUCUGAUAUGUUCAAUCAUAUCUUAUGCCACACUGGAUGUCUUUGAUUUUCUCUGCAACAUAUUAAUCAAGGAAAUUUAUACAAGUUUAUUUAAGAACAAUUGUGAGAGAAUUUAUGGCACACGGAUCUUGCUAAAGAAAGAAAUUAGAACUAAUUAUUUUGCUACAAGUGAUACAGUUAUAGAUAUGGCUGUGUGGUUAAGAAGUUUACUUCACAACUAUGUUGUUUUGAGUUCUGUCCCACUGUACAACAUCUUGAUCUAGUGACUUUUGGUAUAGUCAUGGGCCAACAAAAGCCUUGUAAGCAUAGAAGACUGACGUGGUUGGCGUUAGGAAGGGCAUCCAGCUGUAGAAACACUGUCAGAUCAGACUGGAACCUGGUGCAGCCCCUGGCUUCCCAGACCCCGGUCGAACCGUCCAACCCGUGCUAGUGCGGAAAACGGACGUUAAACGAUGAUGAUGAUGAUAAUGAUGAUGAUAUAUAUAUAUAUAUAUAUAUAUAUAUAUAUAUAUAUGUGUGUGUAUACAUACAUACCUGACAUACAUAUAUGAUGCCUUAAGUAGAAAUAACUACAGAGGUACCAAAUUGUUGGAUCAGGUGAUGAAAGUUACAGAGAGAGUCAUAGCCCAACUAAUGAUGCAGUUUGGUUUUGUGCCAGGGAGAAGCGCCACUGAUGCUAUAUUUCUGUUAAGACAGCUGCAGGAGAAAUACCUAGCCAAAGAUAAACCUCUGUACUUGGCUUUUGUUGACUUGGAUAAAGCCUUUGACAGGGUCCCCAAAUCCCUUAUCUGGUGGUCGAUGCAGAAACUAGAGAUAGAUGAAUGGUUAGUGAGGGCUGUACAAGCUAUAUACAGGGAUGAUACCAGUAAGGUGAGGGUUGGCAAUGAGUACAGUGAAGAAUUCAGAGUACAAGUAGGGGUUCACCAAAGAUCAGUGCUCAGCCCCAUCUUAUUCAUCAUAGUCCUUCAGGCAAUAACAGAAGAAUUUAAGACAGGCUGCCCCUGAGAGCUCCUCUGUGCUGAUGACUUUGCUCUUACAGAGUUUAAUGACUACCUCAAGAACCCAGUUACCACAAAAACUGUUCGCUGGGAGUUGCACAAAACUGGAUCUCACGGGAGGUCUGCAAUCAGAAAACCACUACUUUCAAAAACAAACAUUGCAAAGCAUUUAGAGUGGAGUAAAAAGCUACAGAAUUGGUCCCUAGAGCAGUGGAAGAAUGUUAUUUUCUCAAACAAGUCAUCCUUUACCUUAUUUCUGACCACUGGCUGAUUAUACACGUGGAGAGAGCCAAAAGAAGCAUUUGAUCCAGACUGCUUUCUUCCAACUGUUAAACACAGAGGAGGAUCUGUGAUGAUCUGGGGGACUAUAUCUUGGAAAUUGCCAACCCAGUGCUUUCCAUUCAUGGCAGAAUUAAUAGUCAAGGCUAUUUAAGUAUUUUAUCUGAUCAAAUUCAUCCUUUGGUUGCAGAACUAUUUCCAGAGGGAAAUGCAAUCUUUCAAGAUGAUAAUGCACCAAUUCAACCAGUGAAAGUUGUUACUGAAUGGCACAAAGAACAUUCUAGUGAAGUUGAACAUCUUAUCUGGCCACCACAGUCCCAAAUAUUAUUGAACAUUUAUGGUGCAUUUUAGAAAAACAAGUAAGGAGUCAAUAUCCUCCACCAUCAUCCUCCACCAUCAUCACUACAAGAACUGGAAACUGUUUUAGCUGAAGAAUGGACAAAAAUCCCUUUGGAAACAAAUUCAAACUUUAUACAAGUCCAUUCCUUGUAGAAUUCAAGCUGUAAUUACUGCCAAAGGUGGUCCUACCCCAUAUCAAAAUAAAUUUGUUUGAAAUUUUAAGGUGUUUCCAUUAUUUUGACCAACCCCUGUAUAUGUAUAUAUAGCAUCAUACUUAAUGGAAAUACAUCAUUGAAAGGCAAUUUGCUAUAGUAUUGUUCAGAGAUAACAUCUCUUAGGAACAAAUUGCCUUUCAACUUUCAACAAUAUAUUUACAUUGGGUAUGAUCCAAAGAUGGCUAUAUUAAUUUAAUACUGCUUCUAUUGCAUAUAACACACACACACACACACACACACACACACACAAGCACAAACACACACAUACACAUACACAUACAUGCACACACAUACACACAUGCACAUAUAUGAAACACACACACAUAUGCGCACAUAUAUACAUAUACAUACAUGCAUACAUAUGAAAAAAACAAACUUACAAACACUUUUAAUACCACAACUCAGAUAGUCUAUCAAUAAAGCUUUCAUUAUUGUCUCAGUGAAUAUUGAUUCGGUCAGAUGGUUAAACUGGUUACUAAAUUUCAUUUGUUUGUUUGAUAUAUCAAACAAAAAUCUAUUCUCUCAAGUUAAAGCUAAAGGCUCAUCAUUGUGUUGAUGUAGAUGAUAACUGCUCAUCAUCCUGUCUUUAUAAAAGAUGCUUAUAUAAGAUUUUGUUGACAAGAAGAAUACACUGUAGCCAUUAUAAUUUCUUCUGAGAACACACCCAAGGUCUGAUACUGUCCUUAUCUGACAUAGGUAAAUCUAUGUUGUGGACAUACAAACUUGGCAUAUUUGGAGACAUACAAACAUGGUAUCAAAAUGUUCCUGGACUAGUUACGUUUAAUGAAAAAUUACUUAUUUACCCAAGUUUUAACAUCAUCUCCUUCGAAAUAGUCACCUCAUGCAGCAAUACACCAGUUCCAGUGUUCCUGCCUAGAAGUUGUUUUCUGUGAGUCAAGGACCUUCAGCAAUUCACUCUGGAUCUUGACAAUGGUGUUAAAUUGGCGACCUCUAAUCUACCUUUUCAUCUCAGGGAAGAGUUGGAAGUCUGUAGGUGCUAAAUCUGGUGAAUAGGGCAGGUGUGGAAGUGAUACCAUGUUGCUUUUGGCGAGAAAUUCAUGAGUGAGGAGAGCUUAGUGACAGGGUGCAUCCAGUUCUUCAUGUUCCACAGAUGCAGUUACUUUUGCUGAAUGCUCUCCCUCAAAUGUUUUAAAACUUCAUUGAUUGUUCUCCAGCAAUCUUCAUUCAUUUACUAAUGAAUUUUCUCCACAUUUUCAGGAGUGAUGCUCAUGGCAGGUCUUCCACAUUAGUUAUCAUCUUCCAGGGAUGUUCUUCCACUCUUGGAGUGCCCAUUACAUAUGAACCAUUGCUUCAUUGCCUUAAGCUUGCUGAAGCAUACUCAAUGUCUCAGUAGCAGACUUCCCAAGUUUAAUACAAAAUUUCACAUUGGCCCUUUGUUCUAACUUCCUGUCCAUGGCAAAAAUCACAUAAAUAUCAUCACAAAAACACAAAUUCUAUUACUUGCGCAUUUAACACAGCAAUGUAACUCGGUGCACUACCUCAUGAAGGUCAUUGUUUUACAGAUGUAUGCCCUUGUGUUUUAAGGAAGGAACCUCUCAUUUCACACAGCUUUGAAGGCACAAAACCAGCAAAUGAUUUGUUGACAGGGAAAAUGGCAACAACAUCACCAAUUUGUAGUUCAUAAUUUCAAAGAAACUUGACUGUAAAGACAUACAUGUAUGCACGUGAUGCAUACACGUGCACACACACAUACCCUCCACACACAGACAUGUGUAUACAUACACACACACAUAUAUAUAUAUAUAUAUAUAUAUAUAUAUACAUAUAUAUACAUAUAUAUAUAUAUAUAUAUAUAUACAUAUAUAUACAUAUAUAUACAUAUAUAUAUAUAUACAUAUAUACACACACACACACACACACACACACACACAUAUAUAUAUAUAUAUAUAUAUAUAUAUAUAGGUCCAGUUUAUUGCUGUACAAGGUGACUAUUUCAAAGGAGAUGAUGUUAAAACUUAGGUAAAUAAGUUACUUUUUAUUAAACAUAACUAGUCCGGGAACUUUUUGAUACCACCUUGUAAAUUAACAUGAAAUUUUGAUAGAAGAUUUUUCAUUAGAAUGAAGUCAUGCUGAAACAACACAUUAAAAUGUUUAGUUCAGCAAAUUGACCCCAGUGUUUAUGUAUUAAAUGCCUGGAACUUAUUUUAUUUGUCUCUUUUUGUUACAGGGACAUAAACAAACCAACAUCAGUUGUCAAGCAGUUGCUUGGAAGAAUGACAAAGAGGCACACACAUAGAUAUAUACAUACAUGCAUGUAUUUUUGAUGGGCUUCUUUCAGUUUCCAUCAAACAAAUCUACUCACAUGGCUUUGGUCAGCCUGGCACUAUAGUAGAAAACACUUGCUCAAGGUGCCACAUGGUGAGACUGAACUGAAAAUCAUGUUUUUGGGAAGCAAGCUUCUUGUAACACAGCCUUGAUGUUUGUAUCACAGAAAAAAGGGUUGUCUCAGGCAGGUUGGAAUCAAAAGGGUUAAAAGACAAUAGACAUCCCUUAUUAUUAAAACAGCACUAAAACAAGCCAAACAUUCCUUAAUAGCUGAAAAGAAAUUACAACACACACACCUGCAGUCUGUAAUUUAUUUCUCUCAAAGAAGAAACGGA